GAGCAAGGCGCAGCUACACAUGCAAGUCGAGCGGAUGAAGGGAGCUUGCUCCUGGAUUCAGCGGCGGACGGGUGAGUAAUGCCUAGGAAUCUGCCUGGUAGUGGGGGACAACGUUUCGAAAGGAACGCUAAUACCGCAUACGUCCUACGGGAGAAAGCAGGGGACCUUCGGGCCUUGCGCUAUCAGAUGAGCCUAGGUCGGAUUAGCUAGUUGGUGGGGUAAUGGCUCACCAAGGCGACGAUCCGUAACUGGUCUGAGAGGAUGAUCAGUCACACUGGAACUGAGACACGGUCCAGACUCCUACGGGAGGCAGCAGUGGGGAAUAUUGGACAAUGGGCGAAAGCCUGAUCCAGCCAUGCCGCGUGUGUGAAGAAGGUCUUCGGAUUGUAAAGCACUUUAAGUUGGGAGGAAGGGCAGUAGAUUAAUACUCUGCUGUUUUGACGUUACCAACAGAAUAAGCACCGGCUAACUCUGUGCCAGCAGCCGCGGUAAUACAGAGGGUGCAAGCGUUAAUCGGAAUUACUGGGCGUAAAGCGCGCGUAGGCGGCUAGGUAAGAUGGGUGUGAAAUCCCCGGGCUCAACCUGGGAACUGCAUCCAUAACUGCCUGGCUAGAGUACAGUAGAGGGUGGUGGAAUUUCCUGUGUAGCGGUGAAAUGCGUAGAUAUAGGAAGGAGACACCGGUGGGCGAAGGGCGACCACC
rnacentral:rRNA from 1 species